rnacentral:lncRNA from 1 species
AUAAGAAUGUAGAAUUUUUAUCAAAGUAGCUGUGGUCAGAGGUUGCAGAGUUUGUCUGAUAUGGUAGUUUUCUGUUUCAGUUGGUCUUAACACAGAUGAAGAGAUGAAAAGAGAGACAGUCAAAGAGAAAUGAUGGAGAGAUGAGAUUAUGAUGAGACGGCAAGAAAAACAUGGGGAAUUGCCUAAAACUAAUCCUCUAUUCUUCCAAGCCUGCAACAGCUUCCCUGGAGAUUGAUGAAAUCCUAAAGUGCGAAGACCUUGGAAGCCAGGCCCAGAUCUCUACAGGUGUCAGAAGGAAGGAAGAUUCCAGAGCCAAAGAGGAUGUUUCUGCAAAGCUGUGGGCAUACGAUUAAUCUGCAGGCACAAGGCAGUUCUGUGCCCAUCCCCACCAGCCCUGUGUGCACGAAUGAACCCAGUCUGAGAGCAGAGGCACCGAUUGUGGAGAGCCGGCUGGGUCCGAACCGGGCCUGGGGAACCCCAUAGCUGCCCAUGCCGGCGCGCUGUAUAAAUGAUUUCACACCUCGGUGGCCCAAUCAGUUGGGUGUAUCUCUGCUUAAAAUUCACUGGGAUAAAAUGUUUCCUUCUCUAUAGUCUGGGCAUGUUCUUGGCCCUUCAGGGGGGCCUUUGAAAAAGGCUGGUUUUGUAUUUAAGAGUAAAGUGUUGCUAUCAAGAAUUUUUAAUAUAUUCCCCAGCAAUUGAGAGAUGACACUGGCCUCGGAACGUCCCGAAACAGAGGCCUCUGAAGGGAUUUAGAGGCCUCCCGGAGAGCAGGAAGGUCGAGUUUCAGGCUCUGGGCUGAGGAGAGGCGACUCCAGGAUGCAGAGUGAUGUCAGAGGCAGGGAGGUGCUGCUU